GACGAACGCUGGCGGCGUGCUUAACACAUGCAAGUCGAGCGGAGCGGCGAACGGGUGAGUAACGCGUGAGUAACUGCCCCCCUCUCUGGGAUAACAGUUGGAAACGGCUGCUAAUACCGGAUAUGGGGGGAUGACUCGGGUCCUAUCAGCUUAUUGGUGGGGUAGUGGCCUACCAAGGCGACGACGGGUAGCCGGCCUGGGAGGGCGACCGGCCAAAUUGGACUGGGAGACGGGCCAAACGACAACGGGAGGCAUCAGUGGGGAAUAUGGCACAAUGGGGGAAACCCUGAUGCAGCAACGCCGCGUGCGGGAUGACGGCCUUCGGGUUGUAAACCGCUUUCAGCCAUGACGCGGUAGUGGCAGAAGAAGCACCGGCUAACUCCGUGCCAGCAGCCGCGGUAAUUC
rnacentral:rRNA from 1 species